GGGUUGUGAGGUUAAGCGACUAAGCGUACACGGUGGAUGCCCUGGCAGUCAGAGGCGAUGAAGGACGUGCUAAUCUGCGAAAAGCGUCGGUAAGGUGAUAUGAACCGUUAUAACCGGCGAUGUCCGAAUGGGGAAACCCAGUGCAAUUCGUUGCACUAUCGUUAACUGAAUACAUAGGUUAACGAGGCGAACCGGGGGAACUGAAACAUCUAAGUACCCCGAGGAAAAGAAAUCAACCGAGAUUCCCCCAGUAGCGGCGAGCGAACGGGGAGCAGCCCAGAGUCUGAAUCAGCUUGUGUGUUAGUGGAACGGUCUGGAAAGUCCGACGGUACAGGGUGAUAGUCCCGUACACCAAAAUGCACAGGCUGUGAACUCGAAGAGUAGGGCGGGACACGUGGUAUCCUGUCUGAAUAUGGGGGGACCAUCCUCCAAGGCUAAAUACUCCUGACUGACCGAUAGUGAACCAGUACCGUGAGGGAAAGGCGAAAAGAACCCCGGCGAGGGGAGUGAAAAAGAACCUGAAACCGUGUACGUACAAGCAGUGGGAGCACCUUCGGGUGUGACUGCGUACCUUUUGUAUAAUGGGUCAGCGACUUAUAUUCUGUAGCAAGGUUAACCGUAUAGGGGAGCCGCAGGGAAACCGAGUCUUAACUGGGCGUUAAGUUGCAGGGUAUAGACCCGAAACCCGGUGAUCUAGCCAUGGGCAGGUUGAAGGUUGGGUAACACUAACUGGAGGACCGAACCGACUAAUGUUGAAAAAUUAGCGGAUGACUUGUGGCUGGGGGUGAAAGGCCAAUCAAACCGGGAGAUAGCUGGUUCUCCCCGAAAGCUAUUUAGGUAGCGCCUCGUGAAUUCAUCUUCGGGGGUAGAGCACUGUUUCGGCUAGGGGGUCAUCCCGACUUACCAACCCGAUGCAAACUACGAAUACCGAAGAAUGUUAUCACGGGAGACACACGGCGGGUGCUAACGUCCGUCGUGAAGAGGGAAACAACCCAGACCGCCAGCUAAGGUCCCAAAGUCAUGGUUAAGUGGGAAACGAUGUGGGAAGGCACAGACAGCCAGGAUGUUGGCUUAGAAGCAGCCAUCAUUUAAAGAAAGCGUAAUAGCUCACUGGUCGAGUCGGCCUGCGCGGAAGAUGUAACGGGGCUAAACCAUGCACCGAAGCUGCGGCAGCGACACUAUGUGUUGUUGGGUAGGGGAGCGUUCUGUAAGCCUGCGAAGGUGUGCUGUGAGGCAUGCUGGAGGUAUCAGAAGUGCGAAUGCUGACAUAAGUAACGAUAAAGCGGGUGAAAAGCCCGCUCGCCGGAAGACCAAGGGUUCCUGUCCAACGUUAAUCGGGGCAGGGUGAGUCGACCCCUAAGGCGAGGCCGAAAGGCGUAGUCGAUGGGAAACAGGUUAAUAUUCCUGUACUUGGUGUUACUGCGAAGGGGGGACGGAGAAGGCUAUGUUAGCCGGGCGACGGUUGUCCCGGUUUAAGCAUGUAGGCUGGUUAUCCAGGCAAAUCCGGAUAAUCAAGGCUGAGGUGUGAUGACGAGGCACUACGGUGCUGAAGUAACAAAUGCCCUGCUUCCAGGAAAAGCCUCUAAGCAUCAGGUAACAUUAAAUCGUACCCCAAACCGACACAGGUGGUCAGGUAGAGAAUACCAAGGCGCUUGAGAGAACUCGGGUGAAGGAACUAGGCAAAAUGGUGCCGUAACUUCGGGAGAAGGCACGCUGGUGUGUAGGUGAAGUCCCUGCGGAUGGAGCUGAGACCAGUCGAAGAUACCAGCUGGCUGCAACUGUUUAUUAAAAACACAGCACUGUGCAAACACGAAAGUGGACGUAUACGGUGUGACGCCUGCCCGGUGCCGGAAGGUUAAUUGAUGGGGUUAUCCGUAAGGAGAAGCUCUUGAUCGAAGCCCCGGUAAACGGCGGCCGUAACUAUAACGGUCCUAAGGUAGCGAAAUUCCUUGUCGGGUAAGUUCCGACCUGCACGAAUGGCGUAAUGAUGGCCAGGCUGUCUCCACCCGAGACUCAGUGAAAUUGAACUCGCUGUGAAGAUGCAGUGUACCCGCGGCAAGACGGAAAGACCCCGUGAACCUUUACUAUAGCUUGACACUGAACAUUGAGCCUUGAUGUGUAGGAUAGGUGGGAGGCUUUGAAGCGUGGACGCCAGUCUGCGUGGAGCCAACCUUGAAAUACCACCCUUUAAUGUUUGAUGUUCUAACGUUGGCCCCUUACCGGGGUUGCGGACAGUGUCUGGUGGGUAGUUUGACUGGGGCGGUCUCCUCCCAAAGCGUAACGGAGGAGCACGAAGGUUAGCUAAUCCUGGUCGGACAUCAGGAGGUUAGUGCAAUGGCAUAAGCUAGCUUGACUGCGAGCGUGACGGCGCGAGCAGGUGCGAAAGCAGGUCAUAGUGAUCCGGUGGUUCUGAAUGGAAGGGCCAUCGCUCAACGGAUAAAAGGUACUCCGGGGAUAACAGGCUGAUACCGCCCAAGAGUUCAUAUCGACGGCGGUGUUUGGCACCUCGAUGUCGGCUCAUCACAUCCUGGGGCUGAAGUAGGUCCCAAGGGUAUGGCUGUUCGCCAUUUAAAGUGGUACGCGAGCUGGGUUUAGAACGUCGUGAGACAGUUCGGUCCCUAUCUGCCGUGGGCGCUGGAGAAUUGAGGGGGGCUGCUCCUAGUACGAGAGGACCGGAGUGGACGCAUCACUGGUGUUCGGGUUGUCAUGCCAAUGGCACUGCCCGGUAGCUAAAUGCGGAAGAGAUAAGUGCUGAAAGCAUCUAAGCACGAAACUUGCCCCGAGAUGAGUUCUCCCUGAGACUUUAAGUCUCCUGAAGGAACGUU
rnacentral:rRNA from 1 species